AAAUUAAACUAAUAAUUUAUAUUUUGAAAAUAUAAUUUAGAUUUUUAAAUAAUCUUUAGUUUUA
rnacentral:tRNA from 1 species